rfam:Salmo salar isolate Sally breed double haploid chromosome ssa15, whole genome shotgun sequence.
UCCCGUGUAGUUCAGUUAGUAGAGCAUGGUGUUUGCAACGCCAGGGUUGUUGGUUCAAUUCCCACGGGGG